GAUGAACGCUGGCGGCGUGCCUAACACAUGCAAGUCGAGCGAUCUUCUUCGGAAGAGAGCGGCGGACGGGUGAGUAACGCGUGGGUAACCUGCCUCAUACACAUGGAUAACAUACCGAAAGGUAUGCUAAUACAAGAUGAUAUAAGAGAUUCGCAUGGAUUUCUUAUCAAAGCUCCGGCGGUAUGAGAUGGACCCGCGUCUGAUUAGCUAGUUGGUAAGGUAACGGCUUACCAAGGCGACGAUCAGUAGCCGACCUGAGAGGGUGAUCGGCCACAUUGGAACUGAGACACGGUCCAAACUCCUACGGGAGGCAGCAGUGGGGAAUAUUGCACAAUGGGCGAAAGCCUGAUGCAGCAACGCCGCGUGAGCGAUGAAGGCCUUCGGGUCGUAAAGCUCUGUCCUCAAGGAAGAUAAUGACGGUACUUGAGGAGGAAGCCCCGGCUAACUACGUGCCAGCAGCCGCGGUAAUACGUAGGGGGCUAGCGUUAUCCGGAUUUACUGGGCGUAAAGGGUGCGUAGGUGGUUUCUUAAGUCAGGAGUGAAAGGCUACGGCUCAACCGUAGUAAGCUCUUGAAACUGGGAAACUUGAGUGCAGGAGAGGAAAGUGGAAUUCCUAGUGUAGCG
rnacentral:rRNA from 1 species